GCCCUCUCGCCCGGCAGCCCGGCUCGCGCUCGCUCCCGGGGCUGCUGCACGCGUCCGCUGCCGCUGCCGGGCCGACGCCUCCGGCCGCUCUCUUGUCCUCCACCCCCGCCCCGCCGCGCUCCGGGCAGCGUCCCGCGCGGAGAAGGGGGCGGGCGGCGGAGAGGUGAGGAGCGAGCCGGGAGCAAGCGAGGCCUUCGAAGUUGAGCAGCGGAGUGCGGGGAGACCCUCCGCUGCCCCCUCUUUAAAUCCGCGCGCACACACCGACCCUCCACACAGAUAUCCUUCCUCCGCGCGCCGAGGAGUCCCGACGCCGCCGCCGGCUUCGCAGGCGCUGAGGGUGAGAGGCACGCUAAGCUGCUCGGCUCCGCCACAUAACGAAGCGACAAUAAAGCCGGCGGAGCGUUUCCGUCCGACCAGGCCCUGGCGGAGGUCGAAUGGCAAAUGAACAACGGACCGUGCGCCCACAAUGCACCGGGACUGGACCAGGCGGUGCCUUUCACGCGAAGAGGUUACGACCACGGACACAACCUCCUUUGAUGCAUUGUGCGAGGCAGCACCUCGGGCCCCGGGCAAUAAUCAUUUCACAGAAAAUGCACCGCCCCGAGUGUCUUAUUGCUGUGAUGAAAUGGAAAUUUAAAUAAAAGGUCGAACACGUGCGUUCACUGGGAAGUAUUGACAUGGGUGUUACAUCACCAGCAGCCAAUCAGAUAACUACAGUCGUGUUUAUACUUCUACAACCACCUUAUUACAUGUAAUUUUAAUGUAAAGAAUGACAGUACUAUCUUGCCACAAAAGGAUUUUGGCUUUGAGUUAUUUUUCCAGUAAUAAACAUAUUCUCAUCUGGCCACCAGUGACCAAGAGCUUGAAAUUCUGAUAUAGUUCCUCAGCAAGUGUAUGUUCUCCACCUCUGAAAGUUUCCUAAACACUGACAUUUAUAGGAUACAUAAUUUCAUUGUCUUAUCAAUAAUGGAACACUGAAAAAUAUUUAUGGAAGCAGUGCCAGAGCCUAAACUAUAAACAUGGAGAUAUUUGGAACUUUGGAACCUCUGAGAGUCUAAUGCAUCAGAACUAGCCCAGAAGAGGAGUCUUAGAAACCGGAUUCUCAAUCUGAGCUUCAACCCUACCAGCUAGAGGUCCUGAAUGCCAUUUGUUCAAGAUGCCAAGAACCUGGACACCCUCCACCGUUAACAUAUUUUGGAGAUCCAGCCAGGAGGAAGAGCAGGGUCACCAGGGCUGCUCAGGGAGAGAGAACCCAGAAACCUGGCAUGCCAGCAUAAAGAGACCAUCAAGCUUCAGAUGAUCAUGCAACAAAGGUUCCAGCCAGUUCCAGAUUCUUGUGAAUGAAGCAGAAUCAUUGAUUGAGCAACUGGAAAUGAAUGCAAAAGUAGAAGAUGCACAUUGUGAAUCUCCUAAGAAGCAAAUAUGAAUCCAUUCCUUCCUCCUCUCCAAGAAAUUUCUCAGGGCAACGGAGUCUACUGAUGCAUGAGCACUCAAAAGACACCAUAAGGCGUUUUCUGCAUGACUUAAUUCUUUUUUGGACACAGAGCAGAUUUUGAUGACUUACUAUGAUCACUUUAAAUUCAGAACACUGCAUCGCCAGCAUUUAGGAAUUGCACUAAAGGAAAGCGAGAAGUGAAAAAUGCGAAAUGAUUGUCAUGGUCACCACACAUCCAAGAUUUUCUGAGACAGUCCCAAUUUCAAAAAUUUUACCUUGUUAUUCCUUUAAUUAUACUCUUUCUUAUUAGACCAACU